GAAAAAUUAGUUAAUAAUAUAACAUAAGUUUGUCACGCUUAAAUAAUCAAUUUUUACUGAUAUUUUUCA